UGGGGAAUAUUGCACAAUGGGCGCAAGCCUGAUGCAGCCAUGCCGCGUGUGUGAAGAAGGCCUUCGGGUUGUAAAGCACUUUCAGCGAGGAGGAAGGUGGUGAACUUAAUACGUUCAUCAAUUGACGUUACUCGCAGAAGAAGCACCGGCUAACUCCGUGCCAGCAGCCGCGGUAAUACGGAGGGUGCAAGCGUUAAUCGGAAUUACUGGGCGUAAAGCGCACGCAGGCGGUUUGUUAAGUCAGAUGUGAAAUCCCCGGGCUCAACCUGGGAACUGCAUUUGAAACUGGCAAGCUAGAGUCUCGUAGAGGGGGGUAGAAUUCCAGGUGUAGCGGUGAAAUGCGUAGAGAUCUGGAGGAAUACCGGUGGCGAAGGCGGCCCCCUGGACGAAGACUGACGCUCAGGUGCGAAAGCGUGGGGAGCAAGCAGGAUUAGAUACCCUGGUAGUCCACGCUGUAAACGAUGUCGAUUUGGAGGUUGUGCCCUUGAGGCGUGGCUUCCGGAGCUAACGCGUUAAAUCGACCGCCUGGGGAGUACGGCCGCAAGGUUAAAACUUAAAGGAAUUGACGGGGUC
rnacentral:rRNA from 1 species